rnacentral:RNase_P_RNA from 1 species
GAAGUGAGUCAGGCAGCCGCUCUCCCGUUUUUGCGGGAGGGAGGAAAGUCCGAACUCCACAUGGCAGCAGGCUCCGAUGUCGUUUUUGGCAUCGGAGGCGGGGAAACCCGACGGAAAGUGCCACAGAAAAUAUACCGCCUCGAGAACUCUCGGGGUAAGGGUGAAAAGGUGGGGUAAGAGCCCACCGUACCGCAUGGCGACAUGCGGGUGCACGGCAAACCCCCUGCGGAGCAAGACCAAAUAAGGGAGGAAUUCUCUUUCAGCGAAAGCUGUGAGAGAUACGAAGCGGCCAGUUUCGUCUGACUCCCGGGUAGGUCGCAUAGAUAAAUGGCUGCCUCUUCAGCUUUUGCGGAAAAGACAGAAUUCGGCUUAUCGACUCACUUCGCAA